rnacentral:misc_RNA from 1 species
GCAAACUUGGUCAUUUAGAGGAAGUAAAAGUCGUAACAAGGUUUCCGUAGGUGAACCUGCGGAAGGAUCAUUAAUGAGUUUUUGAAAGUGGGGAGUCUGUUGCUGGUGCGGAAACGCAUAUGUGCACGGCUUUCCGUGCUCAAUCCACUCAACCCCUGUGCACCUUAUCGAAGUUGAGUAACCUCUACUUUUCUGGCCGUAUGCAGAGGGUGAAAGGGUUGCAAGUAGUAAGUAAGGCAAAAGUCUGAAAGCGAAAGUAGUCUGUGCCCCUUGCUCAUCCGAAGAGUGGUGGUGAAAGCUUUGACUUUUUUAUUACAAACCCUUUGCAUGUAUUGUGGGAUGUUUAUUAGCUCCUGGUGGGCAAAAUAAAUACAACUUUCAACAACGGAUCUCUUGGCUCUCGCAUCGAUGAAGAACGCAGC